UAAUACGGAGGGUGCAAGCGUUGUUCGGAAUCACUGGGCGUAAAGGGCGCGCAGGCGGCCUGAUCAGUCAGAUGUGAAAGCCCACGGCUUAACUGUGGAAGUGCAUUUGAAACUGUCAGGCUUGAGUACCAGAGGGGAAAGUGGAAUUCCCGGUGUAGAGGUGAAAUUCGUAGAUAUCGGGAGGAAUACCGGUGGCGAAGGCGACUUUCUGGCUGGAUACUGACGCUGAGGCGCGAAAGCGUGGGGAGCAAACAGG
rnacentral:rRNA from 1 species